rnacentral:rRNA from 1 species
UACGGGGGGGGCAAGCGUUGUUCGGAAUUACUGGGCGUAAAGGGCUCGUAGGUGGCCAACUAAGUCAGACGUGAAAUCCCUCAGCUUAACUGGGGAACUGCGUCUGAUACUGGAUGGCUUGGAUUCGGGAGAGGAAUGCGGAAUUCCAGGUGUAGCGGUGAGAUGCGUAGAUAUCUGGAGGAACACCGGUGGCGAAGGCGGCAUUCUGGACCGAUAUUGACGCUGAGGAGCGAAAGCCAGGGGAGCAAACGGG